GGCGGCAGUAGCGCGGUGGUCCCACCUGACCCCAUGCCGAACUCAGUAGUGAAACGCCGUAGCGCCGAUGGUAGUGUGGGGUCUCCCCAUGCGAGAGUAGGGAACUGCCAGGC
rnacentral:rRNA from 1 species